rnacentral:tRNA from 1 species
GGCUUUAUAGCUCAAUUAGGAUAGAGCAUUUACCUUGUAAGUAAGAGAUUAUAGGUUCAAUUCCUAUUAAAGUCU